UACGUAGGGGGCAAGCGUUGUCCGGAUUUAUUGGGCGUAAAGAGCGUGUAGGCGGCUGGGUAGGUCCGUUGUGAAAACUCGAGCUCAACCUCGAGACGCCGAUGGAAACCCUCCAGCUAGAGUCCGGAAGAGGAGAGUGGAAUUCCUGGUGUAGCGGUGAAAUGCGCAGAUAUCAGGAAGAACACCCGUGGCUAAGGCGGCUCUCUAGUACGUGACUGACGCUGAGACGCGAAAGCGUGGGGAGCAAACGGG
rnacentral:rRNA from 1 species